rnacentral:rRNA from 1 species
UACGGAGGGUGCGAGCGUUGUCCGGAAUCACUGGGCGUAAAGGGCGCGUAGGCGGCCGAGCAAGGUCGCGGUGAAAGCCCGGGGCUCAACCCCGGGUCGGCCGUGGCAACUACUUGGCUGGAGCACUGUAGGGGCGGGUGGAAUUCCGGGUGUAGCGGUGGAAUGCGUAGAGAUCCGGAAGAACACCGGUGGCGAAGGCGGCCCGCUGGGCAGGAAGGUGGAGCAAUCCACCGGCUGACGCUGAGGCGCGACAGCGUGGGGAGCAAACAGG